GGGCGAUUAGCUCAGUUGGCUAGAGCGCGAGCUCGACACGCUCGAGGUCACAGGUUCGACCCCUGUAUCGCCCA
rnacentral:tRNA from 1 species